rnacentral:rRNA from 1 species
CACGUAGGGCGCAAGCGUUGUCCGGAAUUAUUGGGCGUAAAGAGCUCGUAGGCGGUCCGUCACGUCCGCUGUGAAAACCCAGGGCUCAACCCUGGGCUUGCAGUGGAUACGGGCAGACUAGAGGUAGGUAGGGGAGAAUGGAAUUCCUGGUGUAGCGGUGAAAUGCGCAGAUAUCAGGAGGAACACCGGUGGCGAAGGCGGGUCUCUGGGCAGUAACUGACGCUGAGGAGCGAAAGCGUGGGGAGCGAACAGG